rnacentral:tRNA from 1 species
UGCCUUGGUGGUGAAAUGGUAGACACGUGAGACUCAAAAUCUCGUGCUAAAGAGCGUGGAGGUUCGAGUCCUCUUCAAGGCAUAAUACUCAAAAUCUCGUGCUAAAGAGCGUGGAGGUUCGAGUCCUCUUCAAGGCAU